GUUACUGUGUCCAAAGGGCGACACUCUCUCAGAAGAAGUGAAUCUGACUCUUCCUAAGGAUGUGAUAGAGGGAUCAGCCAGAUCCACUGUUUCAGUCAUUGGAGACAUAUUGGGUCGUGCACUGAGCAAUCUUCACGGAUUAUUACGG